UCACUUCGGUGGUGGAUAUACUAAAAUUGGAACGAUACAAAGAAGAUUAGCAUGACCCUUGCGCAGGGAUAGCACGCAAAAUCUUGACACACACACACACACACAAAAUCUUG
rnacentral:snRNA from 1 species